rnacentral:rRNA from 1 species
GACGAACGCUGGCGGCGUGCCUAAUACAUGCAAGUCGAGCGGACCAACCAGGCGCUUGCUCUUGGUUGGUUAGCGGCGGACGGGUGAGUAACACGUGUGUACCCUGCCCGAAAGACCGGGAUAACUCCGGGAAACCGGAGCUAAUACCGGAUAACAUCGAAGACCGCAUGGUCUUUGGUUGAAAGUCGGCUGCGGCUGCUACUCACGGAUGGGCUCGCGGCGCAUGAGCUAGUUGGUGAGGUAACGGCUCACCCAGGCGACGAUGCGUAGCAGGCCGGCGGGGGUGGGCGGCCACACUGAGACUGAGACAGGCCACAGUCUGCUAGGGGUGGCAGCAGUAGUGCAUCGUCCGGAAGGGGCGAGAGUCUGAGGGAGCGGGGCCGCGUGAGCGAAGAAGGUCUUCGGGUCGGAGAGCACGGUUGUUGGGGAAGAAGAAGCGCCGUUCGGACAGGGAGGGGCGGUGACGGUAACUAGCAAGAAAGCCCCGGCUAACUACGUG